GUUUACUCACCAGCCUACCUGGGAUGAUUGCCAACAACUGCUCGGCAUCCUCUUCACCACGGAAGAAAGGGAAAGAAUCCAGACUUCAGACAGAGGCCAGGAAACUGGUCCCUGGAGAUGACGCCAACCCUGACUUGAUUAAUGCUGCUUUUCCCUUGAGUAGGCCGCCCGCAGCCAAGUGGGACCACAACAAGGCAAAAGGUAGGGGGAGGCUCUGGGUCUAUCGCCAGACUCUAAUGGCGGGUCUCCAGGCUGCGGCCUGAAAACCAACUAAUUUGGCUAAAGUUUAGACAGUAAUACAAAGGAAACAGGAGUCGCCUGCUAGCUACCUAGAAAGGUUAAUGGAAGCCUUUAGACAAUUUACCCCAAUGGAUCCAGAGGCUCCGGAGAAUCAGGCAGCAGUAGUAAUGGCUUUUGUUAAUUAGGCAGCUCCAGAUAUUAAAAGGAAACUACAAAAGCUAGAGAAUUUAGAGGGUAAGAUGUUCAGGAUCUCUUAGCAACAGCACAGAGAGUCCAUAAUAAUAGGGAUGCUCCUGAGGACAGGCAAGUAAAGGCCACCAGAGAAAUGACAAGGGUGUUGGUAGCAGCAGUGCAAGGAAGGAAAGGAGGCAAAGUUCAGGGAACUGGAGCAGAGACCAAGAGCAAGAGCAGUGCUGACCUAUCGGCCCGCGACCAACCGUGUAAAGACCAAUGUGCUUACUGCAAGGAGACAGGUCACUGGACAAGAGAGUGCCCUAAGAAAAAGGAAAUGGGGCUGGGGCCCCAUCCCCCUAGAUGCACCCCAGUAUUGGUGACUAACACAGAGGAAGAUUAGGGGCGUCGGGGUUCGGCUCCCCUCCCCAAAUCUAGGGUGACUCUUAAGGUGGAGGGGACUCCAAUUGAGUUCCUAGUGGACACUGGAGUUCAACACUUCAUAUUGACAGAGCUGCAAGGAAAAUUAUCUAAAAGGACUUCUUGGAUACAGGGGGCUACAGGGAUUAACAAAUGUUCAUGGACUACCCAAAAAACAGUGGACCUAGGCGUGGGCCGGGUAUCCCACUUGUUCUUAGUUUUCCCUGACUGCCCCUACCCCCUGUUGGGAAGAGACUUACUCACCCAAAUUG
rnacentral:lncRNA from 1 species